rnacentral:misc_RNA from 1 species
AAAAAAAAAAAAAAAAAGAACUCUUUUCAAUCAAGUUUAUUAGUUUAAAAAACCUUAUCUUUCCAAUAAAGUUUAUUAGUUUAAAUUACCUCUAAAAUCUCUUCCCAAGCAUAGUAUUAGGAAUAAUGGUCAAUUUGUAAAAUUAAACAGAAAAGAUAAAAUUCGACUCGAUUAUACUUUGAGACUGAUAAAUUUAGUCUCCAUUUUUAGCUUUGCUGAAAAAUAAUAUUUUG